GGGGUUGUGGCUCAGUGGUAGAGCACUCACCUAGCACAUGUGAGGCCCUGAGUUCCAUCCUCAGCACCACA
rnacentral:tRNA from 1 species